rnacentral:rRNA from 1 species
CUCUAGUGGCGGACGGGUGAGUAACACGUGAGAAUUUGCCUUUAGGAGGGGGAUAACAAUUGGAAACGAAUGCUAAUACCCCAUAUGCUUUCGAGUGAAAUGGAUUUAUAUUUAUCCGCCUAGAGAGAAGCUCGCGGCUGAUUAGCUUGUUGGUAAGGUAAGAGCUUACCAAGGCGACGAUCAGUAUCUGGUUUGAGAGGACGAUCAGACACACUGGAACUGAGACACGGUCCAGACUCCUACGGGAGGCAGCAGUGGGGAAUUUUCCGCAAUGGGCGAAAGCCUGACGGAGCAAUACCGCGUGAGGGAAGACUGCCUAUGGGUUGUAAACCUCUUUUUUCAGGGAGGAACAAAAUGACGUGUACCUGAAGAAUAAGCAUCGGCUAACUCCGUGCCAGCAGCCGCGGUAAGACGGAGGAUGCAAGUGUUAUCCGGAAUCACUGGGCGUAAGGCGUCUGUAGGUGGUUUAAUAAGUCAACUGUUAAAUCUUGUUGCUCAACUUCAAAAUCGCAGUCGAAACUAUUAGACUAGAGUAUAGUAGAGGUAAAGGGAAUUUCCAGUGGAGCGGUGAAAUGCGUAGAUAUUGGAAAGAACACCGAUGGCGAAAGCACUUUACUGGG